UGCUCUUUAGCUCUGCCUCUGUCGCGACACUCUAGCCGGAAUCACCGCUCUGUCGCUCUGCGUCUGCCUCGCCAGUCACCGGCUUCGUUUUCAACCGUCGCUGCCUGCCUGGCUCGCUGCUCGGCUACUCGUGCUUAGUCGCUCAGACCUCACCGCCUCAGGAAAGCUGGUGAACUGAAUUUUGAGCUGGGUUUCUGUGAGGUUGCAAAUUUGAAGGGGCUUUCAAACAAUCUGAGGGAAAGUUGUGAAAUCAUAGAGAGUGGAAGGAAAGGGGAAAGGAACAGAUUUUAGCCGUUUCAAUAUGUGUGAAAUGGAUAAUCCGGGAUUGGAAGUUGGAUUCCGGAACUGAAAGAUUUCCAGAUAGGCAGUUGGGUUCCAGCAAAGCCUGGCUUGCUGGCAUUGGAGCUGAUCUGCAGGAAAAUGAGCAGAUUAGAGCAAAUUGAUCAGGCUUGCAAACAAUUCCACAAGAUUUUUGCAUACGCCAAAUGAAGCAAUUAGAAGCAGGAGGUCUUACCAGGGAUGAUAGGUGUGAUUUGCCAAAUUUAGAGACUGAUGGGGGAGUUGACAGCUGGGAGGCAGCUGUCGCCUCGAAAUCCCGCAUUCAAGGGGGAGCUCUGAACUUGUCUAUUGAUCAUGCAGACAACUGGAACAAUGUGUCGUUUGGGAACCUCUUGGCACUAGUGCAUGCUGCAGGAGCAGUUGAAAAUGCCACUGCACAUACACCAUUCAGUUCACGGAAUGCAGAUGGAAGUUCUGUUAGCUCCAGAAUCUCUCUCGAUCAAUGCAGCACUUCAGUCUCCCAAGUAUCUUCAACCAUUGAACACUGACGCGCUGAAAAGGAAGAGAUCAAAGGGUUUCACUCGAGCCCGUGACUUAGCAAUUAGCAUCCCUGCAUGAGAUUUGCAAACAGUUCCCCCAACUUAUUCAUCCAGAGAAGCAGCAGCAAAACAGCACACCGGGCAUCUCAAUACAUGCAUGGAAGCUCUUGUUGCUGACGCUCACCCAACAAUGAAAAUGAAAAAACGUUCAAAAAGAAACAGUCUGAAUGGUUCUCUGCCAGCUUUAAAGGGGUGGUGCCCUUACUUUUAUCCAAUUGACGAAAUUACGGAGCAGUUAACCUAUCUUAAUAUAAAUGCUGAUGGUCCAAGUGAGUAUUUCCAAAGAGAAAUUCUUCGAUAUAGACUCUCAAAUUCUACAUAGACUCCCAAAUUUUACUCCCUAUGACAUGAUAUGUCUUUAUUGCUUAAUUUAGUAGGGAAUUAUGAUAUUUAUCAAUUUUUUUUUUCCUCCAAUCAAAUUUGAACAAAGUGCAAGUAAAAGUUGAGAGUAAGAAUUUGGGAAUCCAUGAAAUAUUUUUCAUUUUGAACUGCCCUUGCCCUUUUUUCUUCGAAGAGAUGGAACUAUUGCCGCAUUUACUGGGGUAAAAAAAGUAAACCACGGCCAAAAGUCUAUCUUGAGUGUCUUGUCCGUAUUUGGAUUUUUACAACUUUUUUAUUGUGUUAGGAAUUACUUUCUUUUAUUGUGUUAUCGUAUCUGUACAUAGCUACUUUCUCAACCGGUUGAUGCAUAAUUUACAACUUUUUUUA